rnacentral:lncRNA from 10 species
GUGCCAGCCAACUGUGGCUGCCUGGGACACUCCAUCUUAAGUCCCUGUGCCUCUGCUGUGUGUUACUGAGUGCCUAGGCCGUGCCAGCCUGUAUUCAUCUGUACUAUGACCUGAAGAGGCAGAGGCCAUCACUGUUGGUCCGGUCUCCACCUGGGGAAACUGAGGUGUCUCUGUGGUGACGAGCAGGGCUUCAUCCAGUGCCUCUGUCCCCACCGAGGGGACUAUGGGAGACAUGGAGGGUGUGUGAGCAACAGGUGAGACUGGAGCCAGCUGAAAACUGGGAGACCGACCCAGCCAACAAACAAUGUCGGUCUCUGUCUUGGCACCUGCAGGAAACAAGCUCCUACUUCCAGAAAAAGUGCUCCUGGGACUCCAGGAUACCAGGCAUCUGGGUAAGCUACAAUGCUUAACCACUUAACACAAUCAGGAAGCAACAGCCAUGCAUUCGGGAAAGGAACUUCAGUGUUGUGUGGCUCAGUCUCCAGACCUAACUUUCCCUUUGGUACAGACGCGGUGGUACAUGCCUGUAAUCCCAACACUUAGGCAGGAGGAUCACUCGAGCCCAGAAGAUCAAGACUAGUGUGAGCAACAAAGAAAAAGCAAUAUAUAGAAAGUGCUUAGCUUAGCACUUUGUACAUUACAGUUCCCCAUCAUAGUUUGCCCUUGUCAUUUGAUAAGUUUUGGACUUGACUGCAGGCUUUCCUUAAACUGAACUCCCAGAAGUGGGGUUACUGGGUCCAAGGGGAUGCCUAUGUCCCAAGCUCUCACUUCCCAUAAAGAAGAAUUCAGAAUUCGGCCAGGAGUGGUGGCUCACACCUGUAAUCCCAGCACUUUGGGAGGCUGAGGUGGGUGGAUCACCUGAGGUCAGGACUUCGAGAACAGCCUGGACAAAAUGGUGAAACCCUGUCUCUACUGAAAAUACAAAAAUUAGAUGGGCUUGGUGGUGGGCACCUGUAAUCUCAG